GUUUGGUCCUAGCCUUUCUGUCAAAUCUUACUUAACUUACACAUGCAAGUCUCCGCACCCCGGUGAGAACGCCCCUCAACUCCUAAUGGAUCAGGGAGCCGGUAUCAGGCACAAACCUUCGCCCAAGACACCUAGCCUUGCCACACCCACAAUGGGCCCUCAGCAGUGAUUAACAUUAAAAAUUAGCGACAGCUAGAUUUAGCUAAAGUAAACAGAGCCGGCAAAUCUGGUGCCAGCCGCCGCGGCUAUACCACGAGGCCCAAUUUGACACCCAUCGGCGUAAAGCGUGAUUAAAGCACUCUAAUUAUUAGAAUCAAACUAUGGUUGAACUGUGAUAAGUCUACCACCCGGAAGCCCAAAAACGAAAGUUAUUCUAACACCCAAACUUGAACUCACGACAGCCUGGGCACAAACUGAGAUUAGAUACCUCACUAUGCCAGGCCGUAAACCUUUAACUUACACCCCACUCCC
rnacentral:rRNA from 1 species